rnacentral:misc_RNA from 1 species
AUCUCUCAAAUACAAUAAUUUUUUUUGAUUGUUGUAUUUGGACUUGGAAGCUGUUGGCGCAAGUCGACUCUUCUCAAAUGUAUUAGCUGGGGUUUAUAUAGUUGGAUCCUUGGUGUGAUAAUUAUCUACGCCUUGAAGUCCCUGUAGACUCUGCUUCAAAUCGUCUCUUGAUGAGACAAUAUUUGAAUC